UGUAGGAUGUGGUUAGCCCAUUAAACCAUGGGUCAAGGUCCUUCAACACAUGACUACCUUGAAGAGCCACACAUAAAUCCAACCACUUUAAUACCCCACUUGGUGACAAGCCUACGUUACCAGGCUCGGCGAUUUAAAUAAUUCUUGCAACUGCAUAUGAAUAUAAUAAUAAGCUUGUAUCGUAUCGGUGUGGGAUAAGAUAAUUAGUGGAGAAAUCAAAAAAUGGCAGAGGCGACUCCUGUAGUACUGGGACUCAUCAAAGAGCUAAGAAGCCACGAGGUUGCUAUUGCCGAACUCAAUCAUCUUUCUUCAUCCAGGGCUGUCUAUCAGAAAAAUGGGAACAUAUUUUUCCAAACGACUAUCCAGAAAGCUACAGCAUCUGAACAGAAACAACUUGAUUUGGCCAAAGCUAAGCUUGAAAAGCUGAAUUCUCCUUGAAGCAACUUGGCUGUACCAUGGCUUUGCUAGACCCAAACCUUUAUGGCAGGAAAAGCUCUGCAUUUAUAUGACAAGGCAUUCAACUGAGAUCAACCCCUUUUAGUGGUGUAAUAAUAGAAGUUAGAAUGGUCAUUAGAUUUCUAUAGAGCUAUAUCUUUACUGCAUUAACUAAACUAUCUGGGGCCUGAGCAUUCAUUGUCACACUUUUUAAUCAUUGAAUUUUCUUAUUGUCAUGGUUA